GUAAAAUUGGCACGUGUUGUUCCACAUCUAAAGGCUGGAAGCCAUUUGGGCAGAGGCAGAAUCUGGGCUCAGAGUCUAGCCCUGCAGGAUCCAGUGUGGCAGCUGCGUGUCUCUGGAGCACUGGAAAGGAAGCUACUGCAAAUUUAGGAUCUGCUGUAAAGAGCAUCUUCCUGGUUAUUCUCUGGGACGCAAAACCAUGGUGGUAUCUGAUGUCAUCACAUUUCUGCCAGGAGGUGAAAUCGAAGAGCCUAUAGGUCAUUUGCCUGAGGACACCUGGGGAUUCUGAGGUUCCCUGUCUUUAUUGCCCAUGCCCUGGUGCCUGAGGCCUGUGAGUCAGCUGUGCUCGGUCUGGCAAGCAUCCAUGGAGGACCCGCCAUGCGCCGUGCAUCGUGGUGGUGCCAGCUGUCCAAUUUCAUGAAACUCCAUUUUAAUGAAGGAUACUGACAGAUAGAAACCAAAAAUUCCAA
rnacentral:lncRNA from 1 species